CCUACGGGUGGCAGCAGUGAGGAAUAUUGGUCAAUGGACGGAAGCCUGAACCAGCCAUGCCGCGUGCGGGAAGACGUCUCUAUGAGUGGUAAACUGCUUUUGUACAGGGGUAAACCUCAAUACGUGUGUUGAGCUGCAAGUACUGUUCGAAUCAGGAUCGGCUAAUUCCGUGCCAGCAGCAGCGGUAAUACGGAGGAUCCAAGCGUUAUCCGGAUUUAUUGGGUUUACAGGGUGCGUAGGCGGUGUGAUAAGUUAGAGGUGAAAUGUCCGAGCUUAACUCGGGAACUGCCUUUGAUACUGUUGACCUAGAGUGCAGAAGGGGUAGGCGGAAUGUAUGGUGUAGCGGUGAAAUGCUUAGAGAUCAGGAAGAACACCGAUUGCGAAGGCAGCUUACCGAGCUGUAACUGACGUUGAGGCUCGAAAGCGUGGGGAGCAAACAGGAUUAGAUACCCUUGUAGUC
rnacentral:rRNA from 1 species